ACCUCUCAGUGACUCAAGAGAGAUUUGUUGAGUAUCUACCAAGUGCCUAGCGCUGUUCUUGUCCCUGGGGAUUCAGCCUCUGGAUUGGGACCUGCAGCCCAGAGAAGGGAAAUGGGGGAAAUCCAAGUUCCCAGGCACAUCAUGAUACCGUUCCAGCCUCUCCUUCCUGGAAAUCGCCAUCAUCAGCGGCCAUAGCACCCCCAUGGGACCUGGGGGAUGGAGUUGGAAGCCCCCUCCCGCAACACUGGCCAGAUUGGAGGGACCAGCAGGGAAGCUCCCUCCUACCCCCAGGGAAGCUGAAGCCAGCUCUCCAUGGCCGCGAAACCUGGAACCCAGGACCCUGGGAGGCAGGCCAGCACGGAGGGGAUUCAGCCAAUGACUGGGAAUUGAGUGAAAAACCAAAGAGGACAGCCAUGAGAUCUGUCUGCUACAG